rnacentral:pre_miRNA from 1 species
UCUAUACAUCUAUGUGUGUGUGUGUGUGUGUGUACAAAUAUAUAUAUAUGUAUGUUUGACUACACAUACACACACACACGCACAUGCACA